rnacentral:lncRNA from 1 species
UCAAGCUAAUGUACUAACAAUUCUCAGCUCCAUCCUAGCUCCAUUGUUACCCAUCACAAUGGCACAUUGGUAGUUGCCUUCAUGCUAAAUGAUCCGAUCCUACUCCCUUGUAACUUUGUUUUGAUCUCUUCCGUCUCUUUCUGACGGCACUUUCCAUGUCAUAUCUCUUCCCAAAAUUUUUUUUUUUUUUUUUUUUGUUUUGACAGUACUGUAUAAGAGAAAUUAUUGCAUGCAUCAUGUGCAAAUGAACCAAGAUAAAUCCCAAAAUAUAUGCACAGUGGAGAGCAAACAAUCAGAAAUUAAUGAAAUACAAAAAAUAGUGUGGUGUGUUAUCGAACGUGAAAUUUGGCAUAGUCCAAUUGCACCUGGUGCAUGCAAU